UACGUAGGGUGCAAGCGUUGCCCGGAAUUAUUGGGCGUAAAGAGCUCGUAGGCGGUUUGUCGCGUCUGCCGUGAAAACUCGGGGCUUAACCCCGGGCCUGCAGUGGGUACGGGCAGACUAGAGUGCGGUAGGGGAGACUGGAAUUCCUGGUGUAGCGGUGAAAUGCGCAGAUAUCAGGAGGAACACCGGUGGCGAAGGCGGGUCUCUGGGCCGAUACUGACGCUGAGGAGCGAAAGCGUGGGGAGCGAACAGG
rnacentral:rRNA from 1 species